AACGCACCUUGCACCCUUUGGUAUUCCGAAGGGUACACCCGUUUGAGUGUCAUUGUAAUCUCACUACGACCACUUUAUUGUUGGUUUGUAUGUGGACUUGGAUGUUGCCGUGUAACAAACGGCUCGUCUGAAAUGCCUGAGUGUACCCUGCUUUUGCGGCGUAUUCGGUGUGAUAAAUCUUCACCGGAGUUGACUUUCGGGUCGCGCUUGUAUUGUCAGGCUCUAUGCUUCCAACCGUCCUAACAAGACAAUCUUUGACAAUUUGACCUCAAAUCGGGUGGGACUACCCGCUGAACUUAA
rnacentral:misc_RNA from 1 species